UUUUGUUUUUUCUUGUUGGAUGAUGGUCGUUGUAAUCUCAGAUCAGUUGAUGACUUUGUUAAUUCAAAGUCAGGCCCUUCUUGAGCCUUCGUUCUAAAACAAAGUGUAUUAUAUAUCUUUUUCUUCUUGCUAUGAACUAUUGGUUUAAUGGGAGAUAUACAGAGUAUGGUGAUGGUUAAGUUCAGUCAGAAAAAUCAUAGACUUAAUAUAUCAUGCAAACAUGUAGCUUUAUUUAGACAAGUGCCUCAUUCAGGAACAUCUGUUCAUUAUUUCCAUGUUGCAAUUAGUACUAGGCACACAUGAUGAUGCAUGACAUUUUAUUUUGCCACUGCUAUAUUGAUCAACUAGCAGGUACCAUCGGUAUAGCUAGCUGUCAUGGUAAUGCUAUAGGGGGUGGUGGUGGUGGCUGGGCAUUGUACAGGGAUGUAGAUUUUGCACAUCGACGGUAGGGUGUGAAGUGACAUCCUCAGGCCCUCAAGUUGUACUUCCUGUUGUGGUUGGUGAUGUUGUUGUUGCCUGAUAGACUCUACCACAUUAUGAAUGGCUUGGCAGCGGAAUUGCUCUGGGAUCUGUGCUAGCUGCCG
rnacentral:lncRNA from 1 species